CCGCGCCUGGCACACGCCCGCGGCUGCCACCCGCGGGCUCCCCCGCGCACCCUCAGCGGGACUGGCCGGCUCGGGGCCGCUCGCACAGUCACGCGCCUACACACAUCCCCCCCGCACCCACAAGCCCCACAGGGUCCUCGCGUCUUCGCGCCGCGCCACGCAGCUAAGCAUCGUCUGCCCAGCUUGGGCGCAGACACAGUGUUGGGACCAUCUCCCCAAGCACAAGCCUUAUGUGGGCCUGUUGGCUUUCCUCAGGGAGUCAUUGCCUCUCCUCCAGGACAGCUGUCAACACUCACCCCGACUUUCAGUCCAGUGCCGCCAAUACCCCGCAAUUAUUUCAGACACAGGAGAGCAAGAAAAGCUUCAAGGAGCUGAGUACAAGGGCAAGAGAGGAAGCCAGUAUUUCCAAUGAAGGUCAAUCUGCAAACAUCAUUAUGGGAUCCAUUUGUUGAUUUGUUCAUUCAUCCAUUGAUCGUCCCCUCUUUGCACUGUGUCCUGUACUAGGUGCUAUGAAUACAGUGGUGACGAAAAUCCAGCCCAGCGUCUGUCUGCAAUGAGUUCACAGUGCCCGCCCACCCGCUGGAGGAAAGAGAUUAGACGGGUGUUAA